AUUCAGCUGAAGAAUCCCAAAAAGGUCGAAACGCCCGUCCUGAAU
rnacentral:hammerhead_ribozyme from 1 species